rnacentral:rRNA from 1 species
AGCGAACGCUGGCGGCAGGCCUAAAACAUGCAAGUCGAGCGCUCGUAGCAAUACGAGAGCGGCAGACGGGUGAGUAACACGUGGGAACGUACCCUUUGGUUCGGAACAACCCAGGGAAACUUGGGCUAAUACCGGAUAAGUCCGCAAGGAGAAAGAUUUAUCGCCGAAGGAUCGGCCCCGCGUCUGAUUAGCUUGUUGGUGAGGUAACGGCUCACCAAGGCGACGAUCAGUAGCUGGCUGAGAGGAUGAUCAGCCACACUGGGACUGAGACACGGCCCAGACUCCUACGGGAGGCAGCAGUUAGGAAUCUUGGACAAUGGGCGCAAGCCUGAUCCAGCCAUGCCGCGUGAGUGAUGAA